ACCAAUGAGCUCCAGCUUCCCCUGCAUUUUCAUUGGUCGGAGAGAGUGAACCGUUGUGAAGACAAAUGGACAAUCAACGACCUCAGGUUUCUGAAUCAUUUGCGGUGUUCAAGAAAAAGCCACAUACAAUAACAGCUUUCCCCUGGUGCAUCUAUUGUAGCUGAGAUUCCCCCACCAGAAUCCAGCAAGGAAGCAAGUAGUGUUAGAACACCAAGCAGUAAGGCUAAUGCAGACUUUACCACCUAUGGUUAAGGCAGCUGAUUCGCCCUCUCUUUGUCCAAGAACAUUCUUUCAAUGGCUCACAGGACAGGAACACAUCAGACCAGUUCGUCUGUGGAUAUUUG